rnacentral:lncRNA from 1 species
CGAGGGAGAAGGUGGGAGGAGUCCCCAGUCCUGUGUGGGUGGCUAAGGGGCGGUGACGGGAGAAGGUGGGAGGAGUCCCCAGUCCUGUGUGGGUGGCUAAGGGGCGGUGACGGGGAAGGUGGGGGAGUCCCCAGUCCUGUGUGGGUGGCUAGGGGCGGUGUCGGGAGAAGGUGGGAGGAGUCCCAAGUCCUGUGUGGGUGGCUAAGGGGGGCGGUGACGGGAGAGAACGUCGGAGGAGCCCCUAGUCCUGUGUGGGUGGCUAAGGGCGGUGACGGGAGAAGGUGGGAGGAGUCCCAGUCCGUGUGGGUGCUAAGGGGCGUGGCGGCGGGGAGAAGGUGGGGGAGUCCCCAAGUCCUGUGUGGGUGGCUAAGGGGCGGGUGACGGGAGAAGUGGGAGGAGUCCCCAGUCCUGUGUGGGUGGCUAGGGGGGCGGUGUCGGGAGAAGGUGGGAGGAGUCCCAAGUCCUGUGUGGGUGGCUAAGGGGGCGGGGUGACGGGAGAAGGUGGGAGGAGUACCCAGUCCUGUGUGGGUGGCUAGGGGUGGUGACGGGGAAGGUGGGAGAGUCCCCAGUCUGUGUGGGUGGCUAAGGGGCGGUGAGGACGGUGAGAAGGUGGGAGGAGUCCCCAGUCCUGUGUGGUAGCUAAGGGGCGUGACGGGAGAAGGUGGGAGAGUCCCCAGUCCUGUGUGGGGUGGCUAAGGGCGGGGUGACGGGAGAAGGUGGAGGAGUCCCCAGUCCUGUGUGGGUGGCUAAGGGGCGGUGACGGGAGAAGGUAGGAGGAGUCCCCAGUCCUGUGUGGGUGGCUAAGAGGAGUCCCCAGUCCUGUGUGGGUGGCUAAGGGGCGGUGACGGGAGAAGGUGGGAGGAGUCCCCAGUCCUGUGUGGGUGGCUAAGGGCGGUGACGGAGAAGGUGAGAGGAGUCCCCAGUCCUGUGUGGGUGCUAAGGGCAGUGAUGGGAGAAGGUGGAGGAGUCCCCAGUCCUGUGUGGGUGGCUAAGGGGCGUUGACG